GACAUCAACUGCUUCAUAUUUUUCCCACGUAUUCAGCACUUCCCAUUUUGACACUGACUUGAUUUAUGCCACUUUAUACCAGACCCUACUACUAACAAAGACACACGUUACACUUUCUUUAGCAGUAAUUCUUGCCUUCUUCUGCAAAUGCAUAACGACCUUUCUGAUAUUUCGGUUAUCAAAUGAGGAAAGAGUAUAUUUUACAGUUAAAGGUUGCUUUUUUGAGCUACUAGUUGGUAAAAAUCAAGACAAGAAAACAACAAAAGGGGAAAAAAAAAAAAGGAGCGACCCUUUUCUCAGUUUGCUGAGACAAUGGAGGAAGCUUUGUUGGGAGGAGAAAGUAGUGGAACCCAUUCAAGUGCUUGGGGGAGAAUUCGAAAAGGGGGUUUUAGUAGGAGAUCAGAUGCAAUUGCUUAUGGAUCAACUUAUCAGAAAGCUGCUGCUUUGGUUGAUCUUGCUGAGGACGGCAUUGGACUACCUGAGGAAGUUCUUGAUGAAUCAAGCUUUGCAAAUGCUGCAAAAUAUUACUUCACAUUCAUUAAAUUUGAUUUCCUUUGGACCCUUAACUAUUUUGCUUUGAUUAUAUUAAACUUUCUUGAGAAACCAUUGUGGUGUUCCAAGUAUUCUGUACAUACUUGCAGUGACAGAGAGUACUUCUUCCUAGGACAACUACCAUUCUUAACUUCUACUGAGUCUCUUAUAUAUGAGGGUGUGACUCUCCUAAUUCUCGUUGUACAUAUCUUGUUCCCCCUAUCAUAUGAGGGGUUGGCUAUUUACUGGAAACGUCUGCUUAACCAACUGAAGGUCCUUUUGCUGCUCAUUAUGGUUGCUGAUAUCUUAGUCUAUGUUCUAUCUCUCUCUCCAGUGGCCUUCAACUCUCUUCCAUUCAGGAUUGCACCCUAUGUCAGGGUUGUGUUUUUCAUUCUAAGCAUUAGGGACUUGUGCAACAGCAUCGUUAUACUAGCUGGAAUGCUGGGCACGUAUCUCAAUGUCCUGGCUUUAUCGCUUUUAUUUCUGCUAUUCUCUAGCUGGAUAGCAUUUGUCAUCUUUGAAGACACCGAACAGGGGAACACUGUAUUUACCUCCUAUGGCAUGACACUCUACCAAAUGUUUGUUUUAUUUACCACAUCCAACAAUCCAGAUGUCUGGAUUCCUGCAUACAAGGCCUCCCGUUGGUAUUGCCUUUUUUUUGUUCUUUUUGUGCUUCUCGGUGUUUACUUCGUCACCAAUUUGAUCCUUGCCGUUGUUUACGAUAGCUUUAAAAAUGAGCUUGUAAAACAAGUGGCUGAAAAGGAUCGUUUGAGGAUAAGAACACUGAGCAAAGCUUUUACUCUGGCUGAUACCUAUAAUCUUGGAUUCCUUGACAAAGAUCAGUGCAUCCGACUGUUUGAAGAGCUGAACAAAUACAGAACAUUACCAAAGAUAUCCAAGGAAGAUUUCGAACUAAUAUUUGAUGAGUUGGAUGAUAGUCAUGACUUCAAGAUUAAUUUGAACGAAUUUGCUGAUCUUUGCAAUGCCAUAGCACUGAGAUUUCAAAAGGAGAAUUCAGAACCGAUCUUUGAAAAAUGUCCAUCAAUCUAUCAUUCGCCAGUUUCUGAGAGAUUGAAGAACUUUGUUCGAAGCCCUACAUUUGGAUAUAUCGUAGCAUUCAUUCUUGUCUUGAAUCUUGUUGCUGUCAUUAUUGAGACAACGCUUGAUAUAGAGGACAAUUCUGCUCAACAGGCUUGGCAGAAGGUUGAAUUCGUCUUUGGUUGGAUUUAUGUCCUGGAGAUGCUGUUGAAAAUUUAUGCUUAUGGUUUUGAAAACUAUUGGAGGGAUGGUCAAAAUCGCUUUGAUUUUAUUGUCACCUUGGUGAUAGUUGUUGGAGAAACGGCCACUUUUGUGGCUCCCAACAGGCUGACUUUUCUUUCAAAUGGGGAAUGGAUCCGCUAUCUUCUCAUUUUGAGAAUGCUAAGAUUGAUAAGGCUUCUGAUGAAUGUUCCACAAUAUCGAGCUUUUGUUGCCACCUUCUUGACCCUCAUACCAAGUCUGAUGCCAUACUUGGGAACCAUAUUUUGUGUCAUGUGCAUUUACUGCUCAAUUGGCGUACAGGUAUUUGGCGGGAUUGUGAAUGCUGGCAACCCCAAGUUGGAGAGCACUGAUCUUGCUGAUAACAACUUUCCUUCUCUGUAUUUUCUUGACAAGUUAGCUAUUUACUCUUUAACUUCAACGAUUACCCGAAUGGAAUGGUCACACUCUUCAAUUUACUGGUGAUGGGGAACUGGCAAGUGUGGAUGCAGAGCUACGUGGAUUUGACUGGAACUUCCUGGGCUUAUACUUACUUUGUCAGCUUCUACCUUAUCACUGUUUUGCUGCUUUUGAAUUUGGUUGUGGCUUUUGUCUUGGAGGCUUUCUUUGCGGAGAUGGAGCUUGAAACUUCAGAGAAAUGUGAAGACACAGAAACCCAGGAAGGAAGCCGGAAGGAACACCGACGUAAUAUUGGCAUGAAAUCACGAGGUCAGAGAGUUGAUAUGCUUCUCCACCAUAUGCUAAGUGCUGAGCUGGACAAGACACAACGUUCAACCGAACCAACCCCUUAAACCGUUCGAUCCUGGAUCUACUAAACAAUGGGGAGCACAAACAAUCACUUAUGAGGUGGCUACUCUCAUUCUAGGCCAACAGCUCGUGUUAGAGCUUAAGCCAUGUAAAGAAUUGAUGUUUGAGUUGCCUAUAGCAUGGUAGAGGAAAUGGGAUGAUGCCGUGCUGGUUUUUAUUCCUUCAGAUCAGUUCUUUGUUUUUGGCUCGCUCCUUUUGCUUUCGUUUUGUUCCCUCCUCUCUUUGCAUCUUGAUGUAAGGUCAUUGUCAUUCUCAUCUCUUCGUAAUAGCUUGUUCCACAGCUUUCUGCAAGUGCCUGUUUAAGAUUCCCUUGUGUUUGCCAUGGCCAUGCGCACAUUCUUUCCUUCAUCAAUAAAAAUUUGGUGUAUAAUGAA